UCCCUGGUGACUCAGAUGUUAAGGAAUCUGCCUGCAAUGCAGAAGACCCAGGUUCAAUCCCUGGUUCAGGAA
rnacentral:tRNA from 1 species